rnacentral:rRNA from 1 species
UCGAGAAUUUUUCACAAUGGGGGAAACCCUGAUGGAGCGACGCCGCGUGGGGGAUGAAUGGCUUCGGCCCGUAAACCCCUGUCAUUCGCGAGCAAAGGCUCCAACCUAAUACGUUGGAGAUUGAUAGUAGCGGAAGAGGAAGGGACGGCUAACUCUGUGCCAGCAGCCGCGGUAAUACAGAGGUCCCAAGCGUUGUUCGGAUUCACUGGGCGUAAAGGGUGCGUAGGCGGUUAGGUAAGUCUGAUGUGAAAGCUUCGAGCUCAACUCGGAAAUGGCAUCGGAAACUGCUUGGCUAGAGGAAUGGAAGGGGGAUUGGAAUUCUCGGUGUAGCAGUGAAAUGCGUAGAUAUCGAGAGGAACACCCGUGGCGAAGGCAAAUCCCUGGACAUUUCCUGACGCUGAGGCACGAAAGCUAGGGGAGCAAACA